rnacentral:rRNA from 1 species
GAUGAACGCUGGCGGCGUGCCUAAUACAUGCAAGUCGAGCGAACGGACGAGAAGCUUGCUUGUCUGAUGUUAGCGGCGGACGGGUGUGUAACACGUGUAUAACCUACCUAUAAGACUGGGAUAAUUUCGGGAAACCGGCGCUAAUACCGGAUAAUCUUCUGAACCGCAUGGUUCAAAAGUGAAAGACGGUCUUGCUGUCUCUUCUAGAUGGAUCCGCGCUGCAUUAGCUAGUUGGUAAGGUAACGGCUUACCAAGGCAACGAUGCAUAACCGACGUGAUAGAGUGAUCGGCCGCACUGGAACUGAGACACGGUCCAGACUACUACGGGAGGCAGCAGUAGGGAAUCUGACGCAAUGGUCGAAAGCCUGACGCAGCGGCGCCGCGUGAGAGAUGAAGGUCUUCGGUUCGUAAAGCUCUGUUAUUAGGGAUAAACAGAUUUGUAAUUAACUGUGCACAGCGUGACGGUACCGAAUCAAGAAGCCACGGCUAACUACGUG